UUGAUAAAACAAAAACCCUAAAUCCCAGUUAUUCUUGCAAAUUAGAGAGAAAAUGGAAGUGGGUGCGAAGAGAGAGAACGAGAAGCAGAAGAAGACUGAAAAACCUCCUUAUGUCGUUGCCAAAGAUGAUACCAAGCCUGUUCUUCAAGACCCUUUAUGGAGUUCAGACCCAACUCAAGCUGAACAAGCAGUGCUGCGGUUGCCACCAUUUCCCUUCAGAUCAAAAUCUCAGCUCAGUUGAGAUAUUAUGCUGAUUUGCUCCAUUUGUAAGAGCUUUUCUGUGUUUUUUUUGGAUUUGUACUUUUGUUGGUUUUUGAACUGAUGUACAAGUAUAUUCAUAAUAAUUACGUUAAUGAGUAAUUGAAUGAUGUGCUGAUAAAAUUAUGAAAUUCUGUGGUA